rnacentral:rRNA from 1 species
UACGUAGGGUGCGAGCGUUAAUCGGAAUUACUGGGCGUAAAGGGCGCGUAGGCGGCCUUCUAAGUCGAACGUGAAAUCCCCGGGCUCAACCCGGGAACUGCGUCCGAUACUGGAAGGCUUGAAUCCGGGAGAGGGAUGCGGAAUUCCAGGUGUAGCGGUGAAAUGCGUAGAUAUCUGGAGGAACACCGGUGGCGAAGGCGGCAUCCUGGACCGGCAUUGACGCUGAGGCGCGAAAGCCAGGGGGGCAAACGGG